rnacentral:tRNA from 1 species
UCCCUGGUGGCUCAGUCGGUGAAGAGUCUGCCUGCAAUGCAGGAGACCCAGGUUCGAUCCCUGGGUUGGGAA